rnacentral:rRNA from 1 species
UACAGAGGGAGCUAGCGUUUUUCGGAUUUAUUGGGCGUAAAGAGCGUGUAGGCGGCCGUUUAAGUUGAAAGUGAAAUCCCAAGGCUUAACCUUGGAACUGCUUUCAAAACUGUUCGGCUAGAGUUCGGUAGGGGAUGAUGGAAUUCUUGGUGUAGGGGUAAAAUCCUUAGAUAUCAGGAGGAACACCGGUGGCGAAGGCGAUCAUCUGGGCCGUAACUGACGCUGAGGCGCGACAGCGUGGGGAGCAAACAGG